UGUGUUGAGUGGACAUUAAACCCAUCUUUCUCUCUCAUUCUGGGAGUCAUGGUGGCCCAGUACUGAAUCAGUACUGUUGGCUCUAGAUGCUCUUCAAGCAAUGAAACACAUCAAACUUAUAGAGAAAGGAUUAAAUCUAUUGGCCAGCUUCUUAGAAAAACAACCAUCUAAUAUACCAUUAUUUGUAAAUACAUCAACUAUAUCUACAUGUGUAAGUAAGAUACAGAAAGGUAUACAACAACAUCAUAAACCUAUAGCUAUACAGGCUUUUAGAUGUACUGCUGCUUUCUUCAGAGAAGAUUAUUUACCACCAAGUUAUGUUUAUACAGCUCUAGAAACAUUAUUAAAAGAUAUUUCACAUCGAAUGUCCCAGAUUAAAUUAGAUAGAUUUACUAAGAAAUCUACUUGUGACAAUAAAAACCGUAAUGAAGAGGAAGAAUUGAUGAUUCUAUUUAUAACUGUCAUAAGUGCUGCUGCCAGAUUGUUAGAUGUAAAUAUUAUUAAUUGUAAUAUACCAUGUAGUUCUCAAGAUACAUCAUCAACAGCUACAUCUGAUACAACACCAUUAAUAUAUACUCUAUUUAUACAGAUUACAGUUGAUU